rnacentral:lncRNA from 1 species
UAAACACUAAACUGUUACCGCUGGGGAAUGGGGCAGGAUCAUUUGCUUUUUAAUGCUGUGUCCUUUUGUACUGCUUGAUUUUUCUUUAACAAUGAGCAUGUGCUAUUAUUUUUCCAAUUAAAAUGAAUAGAGAUAAAGAUUUUCAAGAGGAAAACACAUUCGAUGAACAGCCCCUGUUGCUUACAAGCCGGGAGGCUAAAAAUUCCCUGUGCUCUGCAGCCGCACCUCCCUCAGGCUGCAUUUCUCCCACACCGCGGUCUGAGGCCGCGCGGCCCAGGUUUAUCCCGUGGGCUCCAGGGAGUCAGAACUCACGCCGUUCCUUCCAUCGGCACUGCCAUUCCAGUCUUCACCACUCGUCCUGCACUUAAACUUCCUUCACUGCAUUGUGUCCCCUCGUCUGUAAAGGAAUCCCCACCCCAGAAGGCAUGACCACACUCCCUUUUUUCAGCCCCCUGGAAGGUCACCCCACGGAGAUGUCUACCCUGGUGCCCGCGUGAUGUGUUUACACGUUUUCCCUGCCUCCUGUGUCCAUCAGCCCCUUGAGCAUGACUGCCUCUGAGCAAGCAUUCAAAACACAAGACAAGACCAGUCAUUUACUGGACCUCGCCACUGCUGCACGCCAUGUGUCACGAAAACCAGCUGGGCUAUUAAAGGCCCCUCUUCACACAGAGCAGAGCAAGAGAAGGCAGGUUUCAGAGCGAAUCGCUGUCUACCAUCAAAGCAGACGGGGUUCCAAACAGACAUGGUAUGUUACACACAAAGACCAAGGUAACUGCUGCAUGGUUUUACAAGUAAUUUACUGUGCUCGUUUAAAUGCACAAGAGCCUCUAGAAUUCUCACUGAUCAUGUUACCUGAUUUUCUAUUGUUAAAAAAAGCCAAAUAAUCAAAUGUAAUGUAAAAAGUCAGCUAUCUGGAUAUACCCCUCCCCGGACCCUAAAUAGCCUGAUGCUUCUGUUGUGUCAACAUCUUUGCAUCAGAGAGGAGUGAUUUGUUUCAUGUGAUAAAUGCCAAUUUGGUGAUGCCAUAUAAUGAAAACCUACUAGGCUUUAGUUUAUGAAGUGUCUUUCUCUGCUCAGCUUUAAAAAGCAGGAAUUUUACUUGGAGUUAUAUAUUUCUUGGGUUAAUUUAUAUUUUAUAAAUAUGUGAAAUUAUUAAUUCAUUCUAUCUGUGGCACAUGUGGACCCUGAAGCUCAUGGCAGUGCUGUUAUCUGCUGUAGGGAUGCAAACAUACUCUUUGAUGUGUUGUUCUUGGGGACCGGGGGAUAAAGAUGGAAUACUCAUCGGGCCCAGCUCUGCAGAUGGGCUGAGGAGGCAGCAUGGGGUUGUGUGCUGUCCUCGGAGCGGGGUCAGAACUCGCUAAUCUGCUGCACGUUGUAGAGAACGGGACACUUCGGGGAAAGGUGGCCCCAGCCAUUCCUGCUCUAUGCCCCUCUCGGAUGGGCCAUUGAACGUCACCCGUCCACAGAUGUCCCUUCCUGCACACGCUUGCCUCAGUCAACUGCCCUCCAUGUUCACUGUGUGGCAUGAGGGCCAGUACCGAGGAACAAUGCCCAACGAGGCUGAUAAAAAGAACAGUCACACACACAGCCAGCAUAUGUCACAUCUUGUUCUAAGUGCUCUCUUUCUGUUAACUCAAUUGAUCCUCACAAUGGCCCUGUGAGACAGGCUUGUCAGUAUCCCCGAUUUACAGGGAGGAACCUGAGGGCCAGCGUGGUUCCCAUGAGCCUGUUUUUCUCUGGCCCCAUCCCUGUGUUGGUUCAGUGGAUGCACACUGAUUCUGGGCAUUGGCAUUCACUCUUGGUUUUGCUCCUUGGGACCUUAUUCUUUAGCCUCUUAGUUCAUUAUUUCAGCCAACAGAUGUGCGCUGAGAGAUUCUAGGAGCC